rnacentral:tRNA from 1 species
GCGAAUGUAGCUUAGAGGUUAAAGCUUCAGAUUGUGAUUCUGGAUACCGUGGGUUCGAAUCCCAUCAUUCGCC